GCCGGAGUAGCUCAGUUGGUAGAGCGGCGCAUUCGUAAUGCGUAGGUCGCAGGUUCGACUCCUGUUUCCGGCACCA
rnacentral:tRNA from 1 species